UUAGCCUGAACAGGGAGGAGUAUACUAACAUAACAGGAGAGUUAGAGCAUCCUAGGAAAGGCCAUAAUACUGUAGUGGGCUGUUGAUGGUUAACCUGUCCGCUGCGAUUGACCGGGAUUCGUCCUUCUCUGGUAGCCUGGUAACAUAUACUCCCAGGUCUUUCUCUGGCCCUGUGAUGGAUAGUGGAGUGUUUCCCAUGUGGUAUUGGUGUGCUGGAUAUCCCCUCCCAAGGUGCAGCACUUUACAUUUUUCUUCAUUGAAUUAUAGCAGACACUGUUCCACUCCUGUAGCUUGGUGAGGUCUUCUGGUAGGAAAUUCACAGUCAAGGGUUAAACAUUGUUAUAUAAUGCCUUUUUUUUUGCAUGGGAUGUGCAUUAGUACUGUAUAACCCUGAUGUGAAAUUUGUCAUGCGUGAGAGGAAUGAAAAGUUGUCAUGUUUGGUUGUUGUUCAGCAGUACAGUGAUCAGGAUCCUCCAGCAGACCAAGCACUGGGGUGCUGGAGUGUAUCUUUUUCUUUUUUUACAAGUCUUUGCCGAACUGAAGGGCUUGCUCAACAGUUAUUUAGCAAGACUGAAUUAGUUUCCAUUCUUGUUUCCAGUGUAUUCAUGGACACAUAAAGAGGUGAAGCUUGUGGUUGUUGCAGCGCCUUUUUCUUGUUUCCACGAACACUGUUUUCAACUUUCUUCUGCAGAGACUUCCAGCGCUGGUCCUGGCCGCUGCAAGCCUUGUUGGGUCAGUGUGUGGGAAGUCACGAAGGUGGAGUUUGAGGCGGUCGGCCUCAACCACGAGGGCUGUUUGAGCGGCAGGCUCGCCUUGAGCCUUCCAGGGAGUGCUGGGCGGCCUGGUGCCCCGGCUGAAGGCAAGCGGCCACCCUGAGACACCCAAAGACUGGAUGACACAAGAUCCUUUGCUGGUACUGGUGGCUGAGGGCUGUGCAGUGGUAUGGGCACAGGCUCAGAGCGCCCAGGUGGACCAAGGCUCUGAUACUGGUUGCCACCUGCCUGGGAGCAGACUCACAGAGGCCAGCGCAGGGCAGCAGGACAGCUCCCUCAGCAGUGAUGAGGAGUCUCUCCAUGAAGGCUGUCCCUCAAGGCACAGCAGCAGGCCACCGUCCCCCUUUUCAUUGGGAGCACCGAGCGUAUCCCGAGGAACAUUUCAAUGUCCAGGUGUGAUGAUGUCAAGCCACCACAAGCCAGGAGGGAAGUGGCUGCUGGGGCCAAGACAGCAGGUGAGGCAGAACCCUUAAGCCUCAGCUCUUCACCCCUGGACGAAGCAGGUGUUUCUUGGCGGACAAACUCGGGAGUCACCAGAAAAGACCUCGAUAGAUGAUGCAAGUUUUGCUCGCUGGAGACCACAAGAGCGUUCACCCGUGCCUCACUGUGGGUGAGGAGAGCAGCCUAGACCAGCUCCCAAGAGGUAUGUUUAACAGUGAGUCAUGCACACAGGCAGAAAGCAGCACUACAGUCACCAGGAGACAUUUUACAUAAAACUGGCUACAAAAUACUGCUGCUGGCCAGAAUGGAGGUCAGGCUUAAGCAGGAUCCCAGCAAGGUGCUCUCUUUACUUCUUUGUGUGAUUUUGAAAACACUUCAGCAGCCGAGGGGAACGCUCAAGAGAAAGUGUCAUUUCUAUGCAAACCUUCCUGCAGGGGUGAGCUGAAAGGUGAAAAUGUAGUUACCACGACUCCUUUAAGAAGAGACACCAUUAGUAGUUUGUCUGGAGAGGAAAGCUUCACCAGUCAUGCUGCUUGUACAGGGGAGAAGACUUCAGUGUUGUCCUCCAAGCCUCUUUGCAAUGGGUACUCUGGAUCAAGCAGCAGACCAAGUGUCUUGCAUAUGUGUGUGUGUGUGUGUGUGUGUGUGUGUGUGUGUGUGUGUGUGUGUGUGUGUGUGUGUGUGUGUGUGUGUGUGUGUGUGUGUGUGUG